GGGCACAGCAGAAGGGUGACCGGCAGUGGUGGCUUUCCUGAGAGGCAGGAAACCAAGCAGACUUUCACAGUUGGUGUUGACCAAGGGCACAGAUCAGUCCUGCCAAUUGCAUCCAGAUGGACUCAGUUUUACAAUCUCAAGGCAGCCGGGGACAGGACAGGGACGCUGACAUGGAAGGCUCCAACGUGUAGGGUCAGUAUCUCAGCAAACUGACUCAGACAUGAUCUAGGAAGAUGGCUUUGUGAGGGGACAGCGAACAUGAGCACAGUACGGCCACAGGUCCAGGAGACACACACCCCUCGGUGUCUGACGGGGAGGCACGGAGUAGGAAAGAACUGGUGAAUAUGAAGUCCCAACAGAACCAACCUGAGCAUGGGAUGCUGG
rnacentral:lncRNA from 1 species